rnacentral:rRNA from 1 species
AUUGAACGCUGGCGGCAGGCCUAACACAUGCAAGUCGAGCGAGAAAGGUCUUCGGACUGAGUACAGCGGCGGACGGGUGAGUAAUGCGCAGGAAUCUACCUGGUAGUGGGGGAUAACUCGGGGAAACUCGAACUAAUACCGCAUACGCCUACGGGGAAAGCGGGGACCGUUCGGGCCUCGCGCUAUCAGAUGAGCCUGCGUAGGAUUAGCUUGUUGGUGAGGUAAAGGCUCACCAAGGCGACGAUCCUUAGCUGGUCUGAGAGGAUGAUCAGCCACACUGGAACUGAGACACGGUCCAGACUCCUACGGGAGGCAGCAGUGGGGAAUAUUGCGCAAUGGGCGAAAGCCUGACGCAGCCAUGCCGCGUGUGUGAAGAAGGCCCUUGGGUUGUAAAGCACUUUCAAUUGGGAAGAAAGGUUGCGUGUUAAUAGCACGUAGCUGUGACGUUACCUUUAGAAGAAGCACCGGCUAACUCCGUCGCCAGCAGCCGCGG